UACGAAGGGGGCUAGCGUUGCUCGGAAUCACUGGGCGUAAAGCGCACGUAGGCGGCUUUUUUAAGUCAGGGGUGAAAUCCUGGAGCUCAACUCCAGAACUGCCUUUGAUACUGGGAAGCUUGAGUCCGGAAGAGGUGAGUGGAACUCCGAGUGUAGAGGUGAAAUUCGUAGAUAUUCGGAAGAACACCAGUGGCGAAGGCGGCAUCCUGGACCGGCAUUGACGCUGAACAGCGAAAGCUAGGGGAGCAAACGGG
rnacentral:rRNA from 1 species